GCGAUCAUACCAGCACUAAUGCACCGGAUCCCACCAGAACUCCGAAGUUAAGCAUAUUUGGGCGAGAGCAGUACUAGGAUGGGUGACCCCCUGGGAAGUCCUCGUGUUGCACCU
rnacentral:rRNA from 1 species